UGGGGAAUAUUGCACAAUGGGGGAAACCCUGAUGCAGCGACGCCGCGUGAAGGAAGAAGUAUCUCGGUAUGUAAACUUCUAUCAGCAGGGAAGAUAGUUACGGUACCUGACUAAGAAGCCCCGGCUAACUACGUGCC
rnacentral:rRNA from 1 species